rnacentral:sRNA from 1 species
AUGAUGCAUCCUAAAUACAGGAGGUACAUGUAUGUGGCAAAAAUGGCAACAUCUUGUGAACAAUGUCGUGAUCCAAACUUGACGGGGAGGGGAGCAGGGAGGAAGGUAACCUGCACCCUGACGUCUUCAGGGGAGGACACACAAGCACCCUAUCAGGUGGCCUCUCUUGAAAACCCUUGCCCCCACGAUCGGCCCCCCGCUCUCCCCACUCACUGCCUUGUCUCCACCCCUCGACCUCCUUGCUCUCCUGCCGCUGACUUUGGGACCCCUAUCCUGCAGGCUGUCCUGGAAUCUCCUCGGGGAUGAGGCGGCUGCCGAGCUGGCCCAGGUGCUGCCGCAGAUGGGCCGGCUGAAGAGAGUGGAGUAUGAGGGACCAGGGGAGGAAUGGGACGGGCUGAAGGGGGACCUACAUCCCGGGAACACCAAGAGGCCACUGGGUCAGUCCCCUGCCUCCCAGAAAGCCCUUCCUUGAGUUGCACACUCUGGCCUGUUCCAAGCCCCUGCCAGGCUUAGUUCCCCCGGGAUUCUAGCCUUCAGCUUCCUGCUGCACCUGCCACAAGUCCCCUGUUGUCUUUUGGGUUCUCUGAGAAGGUAGUGUGGGAGACUGUGUCCCCCGACCUUGGCCUGAGGAAGGGACCUAGGAAACUCUCACACUCAUUCUCAUGGCCGUGUUUCUCUUUCCCCUCCCCUCACCAUCCACUGAGAAGCCUGGAGAAGAAUCAGAUCACCGCUUUGGGGGCCUGUCUCCUGGCUGAAGGACUGGCGCAGGGGUCUAGCAUCCAAGUCAUCCGCCUCUGGAAUAACCCCAUUCCCUGCGACAUGGCCCAGCGCCUGAAGAGCCAGGAGCCGAGGCUGGACUUUGCCUUCUUUGACAACCAGCCCCAGGCCCCUUGGGGUACUUGAUGGCCCCCUCAAGACCUUUGGAAUCCAGCCAAGUGAUGCACCCAAAUGAUCCACCUUUCACCCACUGGGAUAAAUGACUCAGGAAAGAAGAGCCUCGGCAGGGCGCUCUGCACUCCACCCAGGAGAAAGGAUAUGUGUGUCCUGCUGCAGUCCUCAGGGAGAACUUUUUUGGGAACCAGGAGCUGGGUCUGGACAAAGGAGUACCCUGCAUUACGUGGGAUAUGUGUGAUCAAUUGGGGACAUGCGACACACAAUGAGGGUGUCAUGACAAUGCAUGACACAUACGGUUUUAUGUGGCAGUGUGACCCCUUGACAUGUGGCAUUGCAUGAAAGUCAAUGUGGUGCGUGUUCUAUGGCAUGGGUCCUGGCAUCCCAAGUGGCAGGAUACACGAUUGUUGGUCUAUAUAUGACAUGUGACAAAUAUCCAUGUCACAGGACUCAUGGCUGGCCAGAUGACCUCAGGCUGGCCCAAGAUCUAAUUUAUUAAUUUUUAAAGCAAAUACAUAUUUAUAGAUUGCAUGUAUGGAGCAGCUAAGUCAGGAAAAGUCUUCCGCCCGAGCUGGGAGGGGAGAGUGUCCAUGCACUGACCAGUCCAGGGGCGCAAGGGCCAGGGCUCUGGGACAAGCCGGGGACUCAGCCAUGAAGUCCCCUCCUGCCUCAAUCCUCAGCCUACCCAUCUAUAAACUUGAUGACCCCUCCCUUACUUACAUACUAGCUUCCAAGGACAGGUGGUGGUAGGGCCAGCCUGGCGGGAGUGGAGAAGCCCAGUCUGUCCCGUGUAAGGGACAAAGCCAGGUCUAACGGUACUGGGUAGGGGGCACUGCCAAGACAAUAAGCUAGGCUACUGGGUCCAGCUACUACUUUGAUGGGAUUCAGGUGGGUCUCCAUGCACUUCACAUGUUACCCAGUGUUCUUGUUACUUCCAAGGAGAACCAAGAAUGGCUCUGUCACCCUCGAAGCCAAGUUUGAUCAAUAAACAUGAUGGUAUUCCA